rnacentral:rRNA from 1 species
GAUGAACGCUGGCGGCGUGCUUAACACAUGCAAGUCGAACGGAAAGGCCUCAGCUUGCUGGGGUACUCGAGUGGCGAACGGGUGAGUAACACGUGGGUGAUCUGCCCUGCACUUUGGGAUAAGCUUGGGAAACUGGGUCUAAUACCGAAUAUGACCACUUCUUGGAUGGUGUGGUGGAAAGCUUUUGCGGUGUGGGAUGAGCCUGCGGCCUAUCAGCUUGUUGGUGGGGUAAUGGCCUACCAAGGCGGCGACGGGUAUCCGGCCUGAGAGGGGGUACGGACACAUUGGGACUGAGAUACGGCCCAGACUCCUACGGGAGACAGCAGUGGGGAAUAUUGCACAAUGGGCGCAAGCCUGAUGCAGCGACGCCGCGUGGGGGAUGAAGGCCUUCGGGUUGUAAACUCCUUUCGCUAUCGACGAAGCCACUUGUGGUGACGGUAGGUAGAUAAGAAGCACCGGCUAACUACGUGCCAGCCGCCGCCGUAA